GAUGAACGCUGGCGGCGUGCCUAAUACAUGCAAGUCGAGCGAACAGACGAGGAGCUUGCUCCUCUGACGUUAGCGGCGGACGGGUGAGUAACACGUGGAUAACCUACCUAUAAGACUGGGAUAACUUCGGGAAACCGGAGCUAAUACCGGAUAAUAUAUUGAACCGCAUGGUUCAAUAGUGAAAGACGGUUUUGCUGUCACUUAUAGAUGGAUCCGCGCCGCAUUAGCUAGUUGGUAAGGUAACGGCUUACCAAGGCAACGAUGCGUAGCCGACCUGAGAGGGUGAUCGGCCACACUGGAACUGAGAAACGGUCCAGACGCCUACGGGAGGCAGCAGUAGGGAAUCUUCCGCAAUGGGCGGAAGCCUGACGGAGCAACGCCGCGUGAGUGAUGAAGGUCUUCGGAUCGUAAAACUCUGUUAUUAGGGAAGAAGAAAUGUGUAAGUAACUAUGCACGUCUUGACGGUACCUAAUCAGAAAGCCACGGCUAACUACGUG
rnacentral:rRNA from 1 species